ACAUGUUGCAGACCAUGACGUUACACAAAUGCGGUAGCUUUAUUACAGUGGUAAAAAUGUUUGCGAUUUCAGCAAUCAAACUAGUAGUAUAUCGUUUAUACAAUCUGAAUAAAAUUUUGUUAUAUUAAAAUUUUCGUUAACUGAAAUAAAAAUAAAAAUUAAAACUUGUAUAAACAAUAAUAACGAUAUAUAAAAUCAAUAAUUCUAUCCACCUUAUUCCUACGCCCCAUGACACACCCAUGACCAAUUAUGGGUGUAACUUCCAUUAAGCUGUAAACAAUCAGUAAAAAGCUCGCUCUAUGAAUGCAAAAAUACGUUUGUUUUUUUUUUGUUUUGUUUUUUAAAGUGGGUACAAUGAGAUGACAUUAUUCUACUCACCCUUCAACCAUCGAACAUUAAAAGGACAUUUAAAAGUGUGAAAGUAUCAACGAAAUGCAACGAAAAAAAAGAAAAUAAUCAUGAGGAACAGAAUGCAGCGACUGAAAAGAGCUCUUGCCAUAGAUAUUCUUGUUAUAACAUGUCACGUUAAAAUACCAACUGUUACGUUAUUCUCAUGAUAAAAAAAUGAAGGGAAAUUGACAGCUCAUUCAGUCAAACUGACGGAUAAACUUGAUUUGUAAGGCAACCAUUUGAUUUGAAAUUAUUCAUUUCAGUCUUUUAUAAUGGAAGUUCCCCAAACCGGAAGUGCAAACCCAUAAUACAAAGGAAUAAGGUGGAUAAAUCAAAUUCAUACUAAAAUUUGUGUAUUGUGUUUGGCCAUUGAAUCACACUCAAAAUCCAAGUGUAGGGAGGUAGAGAGAGUUUGCAUAACUGUAUAAAAGAGUACAAAAAUAACUUUUUGUACUACUAUUAAUCAGUAUUUCCUGCAGACUGGGGUGUCCCAUACUGCUGAACUAACUUCUUUUCAGGUGCGGGUAAAGUUUACCUCUCCUUUCCUCUGACAUGAUUUUGUAUGGCAGUAGUAAAUACACACUGCACCAUUGUCUUUUUUCCAUUUUAUGACGGGUGGUAACCAGCGUUAAAGUGCAAUAUUGCCAACUACAAUGCUCGAGUGUCAACCAGAUAGUUACUGGAGGUGCUGGAUUAUUUACGACACUACUGAAUGUGUAAUAUUAGUAUAAUAUCAAUAUUUCAUGAUUUAAAUAUUAUGGUUGUUGUCAAAGCCAGUAUAUUGCAACUCCCCUAAAACUAAAGCAAAAAUGUAUUUUGGUUUUUAAAUACGUGAUAUAUUAUAUAACUUGAAACCUUUACAACCCACCUACCUAAAACAAGACAAUACCAUUUUCAAGAAAAUACUAACACAGCAAAGACAGCAAUAACACAGAUAAGACAGAAAUGUAACACGGAUAAUGCUGUUAUUAUCACUUUUAAAUGAUACCAGUUAUCGUACAUCAACCGUGGAACUGUGAAAAUAAAAUACAAAUAAAAAUGAAAAAUCUGUUAAAUUAAGUCAAUACUGAAAUCCGUUGUAACAACUAAAGAAAAAACACGCCUAUAUAUCAAAACAAUGAAGCUGCAUGAUUUUUUUAUUAACCCGCCAACCAAAAGAUCUGAAUGAUCAAAUAUUAAUGAACAGUUUUGGAGCUCUUGACCGAACCCCCUGCAAAUCGGUAUGUUUUAACACUACAUCAGCUCACUUUGAAUAAACCAGCCCAGAGAUUUGUUUAACAGUCACUGGAGUAUGUAAAUACCAUUGAGCACUUUUCACAAGUGCCAACACAAGAGAGGGGCGCGUCGAGUUCUGUCGAGGGGGUUAAUAAGGGAUGUAUAAAUAGGCCGGCAAUAUUAAAUAUUGAGAUUACAUUCAGAGGCAUGGAACAAUUAAAAUGUGACUGUGUAGAGAGGCUCCCAGGGAGGCUCCCUAUUGAUCACAGUUCUGCCAGGCAAGACCAGAGCUCUUGUUUUGAUACUCAGAUAGGUAGUGAUCUAAGCAUCUCAAGGGAUCAAUUGAAAAGCGCAGCCACAAAAACAGCCAAUUAGUAGCCACACUCCACAGCCUCCCUCUCUCUCUCUCUAUCUCUCCACCCCUCCCGCUCACUCUCUUCCUCUCGUUCUAGUACAUUCCAAAGGCCUCGCUUGUUUAUUUUCUCCACGCAGACUCGGUUUCUAAACACACCAAAAUACUUUUAUACGGUACACAACAAGGAGCUCGAUACCUUGGACCGGGUAACGCCAAAUGCAAAUGAACCUCUCAUGCCCUUCUUUCCCUGUAAGACCAUCCACGUUCCCCUGUCUGAAUUCCAUGUUCUGAGUUCUGGAACCCUGGUGCAAUUCAUUAUCCCUGUCAAGUUAAUGUUCCGUGUUGAGCCAUAUGGUGAGGCUAACACGCGCAAUAAAGGAAAUUCCUUCAACUUGUUAUAAUCAGCACAUUGGGCUGUCCAAAAACUGACAUAAACAGCUUUAUUGUGUUUGCUGCAUUUUCUCUUAAAAUUCCUGACAAAAACAGGAAAGCAAGCAGGAAAGGAGAGCGGGGGGCUGGGGCUAAACUUGGAGGCCAGCAAAAGGAGGGAGGGAGAGUGAGGUAAAGAAAAAGAAAGCUCUACAUCUGUCUAAAGUUUGUGUCGGCAAGAACCUUGAGCUAUCAGUGCAGAGUCCUGAACGCUCGAUGCCCACACACGAACACAAGCAAACACACACAAACACUCACAGACAUCACAAUGCCAAACAAAGCAGCACACCCACUCGCUGACUGGCUCUGUGGCUUUUAAAAUGGAUCCUUUUGUUUCCUCUUCUGGAGUGUUUGUGUAUCUCUCUGUUGUUUCUGAAGCUUUUUUGAUGUUAAGACGAGUUCUUUUUGACAGUCGCCAAGGAUGGGGCCUGAAUCCAAGGGACCCGCCCGCCCUCUCCGGACCCUCCUUCGCACGAUGCCACCCGAGAAGUCAUUAGAUGGAAUGAAUAGAUCAAUUAAAAGGAGGGAGAAAGGACAGGAUUAAGGACGAAUCAGAAGAAAGAUGGAAGACUAAAGAGGAAUUAUGGGAGUGGAGAAUGAGGCUGCCGUCUUAAGCCCAUCCAGAAUCUCACAGGUUUGCAGGAUCUUCUGACUCACCAGAUGGGAAAAAAGGACCUGUGUGUGGACUUGUCAACAAACGCAGCAGCUGGAUUUGUCCUAAACACCCCCACCUCAAAAAGUCAAUGGGACGGACCAGGUCUGCGCAAUGUGAUUUUCUAUUGCUACUGGGGGGAAAAAGAGGGGAAAAUGUUUUCUUUUGACCUCUGCGGUCCCAAACUUAGCCACCCUCUCCAGCCAAUGCCCGCUACUCCCUGAUAUGAGACGGCGAGAGAGAGAGAGAGAGAGAGAGAGAGAGAGAGAGAGAAAUGCAUUACUGCAGACCAGAUGGGAACAUUCCACAUGACCAAACCAAUCAAUCACCUUGGUGGGACGCAGGUGCGCCACAGCCGUGCAGCAACACACCAUUUCACAGUCUAUCGGCCACAAACACAUGGUCACCAAUCAAUGGCCCCCUGAGGAUGCGCGCUUCUCCCCUACCCCACUGGUUCAUGGCUGAUGACUUCAUAAUCACACAUCCCUCUCCCUCUCUUCCCUCCUCUUCUCGCUCUCCACCCUCGGCGGAGGAGUGUGAUGAGCUAUCUAAUAACCCUUUCUUUCACGCACCCACCGCAGAUCUUGCCACGUUGGACGAUGACUCCCCUCAAGCUAACCCACGCAAACUCACGUGUUCGUGAGAUAGUCGCUCGUGGCCGGAGCCGAUGCCGUGCGUCGAGAAUGCGAUGGAAAAACAGGAGGGCGGGGCGUUCUUUUAUGUCCCAGGAUGGAUAUCGCAUCAUCUGAGCCACAUCAAAGGCGCUGCAGCCGGCUGGUAUCAGAUGCCAAGCAACUGUUAAACAAUGGGGCCUCACUGGAAGGAUGGAGAAGGAUGAAUGCAGGAGGGGAAUUUUGAUCCCACUCGGGCGGUGCUGCCGGCGUACUCUCAAACUCACACGCAAGCAUGCCAAAAUCCUGUUUAAAGACACAUUUCGGUAGCUGAGAGACUCAGAUAUCAGAGAACAGGCAUAUGUCAGAAGCAAUGAAAGAGUUGUCAGUAUUAAAACAUUUCUCUUUUCAUACUGCAGAAGUGUUUAGCAACACUUCUCAAGGUUCUGUCAGAGAGAAAUCGUGUCACAGAGAAGGAAGCGUGUGAACACAAUUCACUCUGUAUGUGUGAAAGUGUGUCCAGGGCUUGGACGGCGCCAACCCACAGGGAUAUUUUAAUACCGCUGGUGGAGAUGACAGUGUACUCACCAAAUUAUGCAAUGUUAUAGGUGCUGUGUUGUGACAUCAACAGGUCAAAGCACAGAAUAUAACAGCUGGAGCAUUGUAUUGUCCAAUCAGAAGCCAGGACUGGUACUAUCCAUUUUAUAAUAUACUCCUGUUCAAAAGUUUGGGGUCAGAAAGAUUUUUUUUUUUUUUUUUUAAGAAAUGAAUAUUCUUUUUUAGCAAGGGUGCACAUUUGAACUGUACCAAAAUAUGCAACUUUCUAUUCAUCAAUGCUUCUAAAGCAACAAAUUAGCAUAUUAGAAUGAUUUCUGAAGGAUCAUGUGACACUAAAGACUAGAGUAAUGAUGCUGAAAAUACAGCUUUACCAUCACAGGAAUAAAUUACAUUUUAAAAUAUAUCAAGUUAGAAAACUUAUUUUUUUAUCAAAUAAAUGCAGCCUUGGUGAGCACAACAGACUUACAAAAAGUCUUACAGACCCCAAACGUUUGAAUAGUAUAGUACUUUUUUUUUUGCCAGCAAUUAAGAUACAACUAAAGGUAAUUAAACAUAUAACAUGACAUUUAACUGUCAUAUUAAUCAGCCUGACUGAUACUCUAUUGUUACUCCCUGCUUUAUUAAAGGCCAAAAUUUGUUGACAUGAAGCUGAAGGAUAUCUUAAUUAAAGAGCAUUAUAGCAUCUAUAGUGCUGUAUAUGUGUGAUUAUUGUGAAGGUUUAAAGCUGAAGGUUGAAUUUGUUAUCCUUCACAAACAAUGACAGCCCCUUGGAUUCUAUACACUGUAUGUGUAUAUGUAGAUAAUGCUGGAGCGCUCCUGCAUUGAGAGUCUUACACACAGGCACUCAUUCAGAGGAUUCAUCUCUCCUCUCUGGAUUAGAUGUGGGGGAGGAUGGGUUAUUUCUAGGCAGACUGACUGCGCGCUCACCACCUGAGACCCCGAGCCAGGUGUGUGUGUGCAAGUAAGUGUGUGUAUAUGUAAGAGCAGCACCUGUGGGGCACAGCAGGAGCUCGGCUACACACAGGUGGGAGCCAGAAGCCCUACUGUCCAUCCCAUGAGCCCCCUCUCAUUUCAACAGGUCGUUCAGUAAUUAUACUCAACACAGCCCAUUAGCCAUCAGCCUUCAGAAGAACAUAUGCUCCAACAUUGCUCCACACCGCAUGCCUACGCGUGAAAGACUGUGGGGGAGAUCGUCUUCCAAUGGACACGGUGCCUGAAAAUACCUCUAAACGGCAUUUUCUACACUGAAAUGCUCAGUAGCUAUGAUAUGGUGGCAGUGAUGUAAAUAUUCACAAAAUAAUAAGGAAAACACAUAUUAAACAUAUUACAUCUCUGGGUAAUUUAGAUAAGGCAAUAAUUAUUAUGGCCAAUAACUGAUAAAUGUCGGAUAUUAAAAAUCAACGUUAUUUUAACUUUAAAAAAAAAAAAAAAAAAAAAAAGACAAAUAAA